rnacentral:rRNA from 1 species
CCGGCAAACGGGUGCGGAACACGUACACAACCUUCCUUCAAAUGGGGAAUAGCCCAGGGAAACUUGGAUUAAUACCCCGUAACAUUAUGAAGUGGCAUCACUUUAUAAUUAUAGCUCCGGCGUUUGGAGAUGGGUGUGCGGCUGAUUAGGUAGUUGGCGGGUAACGGCCCACCAAGCCUUCGAUCAGUAACUGGUGUGAGAGCACGACCAGUCACACGGGCACUGAGACACGGGCCCG